rnacentral:rRNA from 1 species
CCUACGGGUGGCUGCAGUGGGGAAUAUUGCACAAUGGGGGAAACCCUGAUGCAGCAACGCCGCGGGAGCGAAGAAGGCCUUCGGGUCGUAAAGCUCUGUCCUAAGGGAAGAAGCAUGACGGUACCUUAGGAGGAAGCCCCGGCUAACUACGCGCCAGCAGCCGCGGUAAUACGUAGGGGGUGAGCGUUAUCCGGAAUCACUGGGCGUAAAGGGUGCGUAGGCGGCCAAUUAAGCCAGAGGUGAAAGGCUACGGCUCAACCGUAGUAAGCCGUUGGAAAUGAAUGGCUUGAGUGCCGGGGAGGAGGGUGGAAUUCCUAGUGUAGCGGUGAAAUGCGUAGAUAUUAGGAGGAACACCAGUGGCGAAGGCGACUCUCUGGACUGUAACUGACGCUGUGGCACGAAAGCGUGGGGAGCAAACAGGAUUAGAUACCCCAGUAGUC